rnacentral:rRNA from 1 species
GAUGAACGCUGGCGGCGUGCCUAAUACGUGCAAGUCGAACGAAGAUCUAGCUUGCUAGAUCUUAGUGGCGAACGGGUGAGUAAUACAUAAAUAAUCUGCCCAUAUGACUGGGAUAACUAUUGGAAACGAUAGCUAAUACCGGAUAGGUUGAUCGGAGGCAUCUCUGAUGAAUUAAAGUAGGAUUUCUACACAAAUGGAUGAGUUUAUGGCGCAUUAGUUAGUUGGUGGGGUAACGGCCUACCAAGACGAUGAUGCGUAGCCGACCUGAGAGGGUGACCGGCCACACUGGGACUGAGACACGGCCCAGACUCCUACGGGAGGCAGCAGUAGGGAAUUUUCGGCAAUGGGCGCAAGCCUGACCGAGCAACGCCGCGUGAGUGAUUAAGGCCUUCGGGUUGUAAAGCUCUGUUGUAAGGGAUGAACAUUCAGGAUAGGAAAUGAUCUUGAACUGACGGUACCUUACCAGAAAGCCACGGCUAACUACGUGCCAGCAGCCGCCGUAAAAC